GUGGGGAAUAUUGGACAAUGGGCGAAAGCCUGAUCCAGCCAUGCCGCGUGUGUGAAGAAGGUCUUCGGAUUGUAAAGCACUUUAAGUUGGGAGGAAGGGCAGUAAGUUAAUACCUUGCUGUUUUGACGUUACCGACAGAAUAAGCACCGGCUAACUUCGUGCCAGCAGCCGCGGUAAUACGAAGGGUGCAAGCGUUAAUCGGAAUUACUGGGCGUAAAGCGCGCGUAGGUGGUUUUGUAAGUUGGAGGUGAAAUCCCCGGGCUCAACCUGGGAACUGCCUCCAAAACUGCAUGACUAGAGUACGGUAGAGGGUAGUGGAAUUUCCUGUGUAGCGGUGAAAUGCGUAGAUAUAGGAAGGAACACCAGUGGCGAAGGCGACUACCUGGACUGAUACUGACACCGAGGUGCGAAAGCGUGGGGAGCAAACAGGAUUAGAUACCCGUGUAGUCC
rnacentral:rRNA from 1 species